UACGAAGGGGGCUAGCGUUGCUCGGAAUUACUGGGCGUAAAGCGCACGUAGGCGGCUUUCUAAGUCGGGGUGAAUCCUGGAGCUCAACUCCAGAACUGCCUUCGAUACUGGAGAGCUCGAGUCCGGGAGAGGUGAGUGGAACUGCGAGUGUAGAGGUGAAAUUCGUAGAUAUUCGCAAGAACACCAGUGGCGAAGGCGGCUCACUGGCCCGGUACUGACGCUGAGGUGCGAAAGCGUGGGGAGCAAACAGGG
rnacentral:rRNA from 1 species